ACAAUGAAGGCUGGUCACCAGCAAAACCAGCACUGGUCACCAGCAUAUGCUGUUUUUUUUCAGCAGGGGACUUUGGCCAGACAUUAUUCUUGGCAAUGUAGGAAAUCCUUUCUAAAGUACAUCCUCUGCCUGCUUCUGUGUUCAGACCAUAUUUCUACCUCUGCCCAGUGAGCGCUUCCUGCCCAGGACCAGCUGGCUUGUGAGUGGAUUGGAAUGGACAAUAGAACAUGGAGACCUAGUUCGAGCCCAGAUCUUUUAUGCAGUCGGUGUGACAAUGGCCACACGGAUUUGGUAAGAUGGCACCAACGGAUAUGGGAUCAGGCUAAUGGAAACCCACUGCACCCACAUUCAGCUGGUCGUCUACCUGCCAUUCCGAGAGGUGCAGCUGGAGUUGGUGGAGCCAGCUAAGUGCAACAGGACUCUGGGGGUCCUCUGAUCUACCCCAGAGAGGAUGGCCACUGGGCCAUGGUGGGGGUCACCUCCUGGGGGAAAGGCUGUGACCAGAGCCGGAUCAACAACAAGGCCGAGUCCCCAGCCAAGAUGGGAUCCCCCGGGGUCUUUACUGAUGUCAAGAUGCUCCUGCCCUGGAUCGAGAGGAAACUCGGAAGUUAAUCUAACACGUUUUAGUCAGUGUGAGCCAUGCAGGUCUGGAUUUGUUUAAUUAAUUGGUUUAACAGAUGGUCUAACAAAUUGUUUGAUUUUGUUCAUCAGCAGAUGCUUCUUCUCAUCAAUUCCACACUGCAUUUACUUGCAUGUUUUGAAACUGCGCCCACGUCCUCUUUGUCAUCUGAUUAGCUACUACAUUUCUAUUUACACAAUAGCUCACUUAUGCAAUUUGUACAAUUAACCUUUACUGUAUAAUGUGACUGUCGUCUUUGAACAGUGCAUUUGAUGCCGAUUGUGUGUGUACUGUGUUGCAGGACUUUGCAGUGAGGGAUAGGCCUGUGAGGGUCUCAAACCCAAACCUUACAGUCUGUCUCGACAACAACGAGUGGGUGUCAGUGUACAGGCCCGUUGCAUAGGGGGAGGGAGAGCUGUGCUGAAUUGAAUGCUCUUAUUGAAUGCACUUUAAUUAAAUACGCUUUUAGGCCAAUUUACUCCACCACUUGACAGCUGUCAUGGGCAGCAGGUAGCCAAGCUGUUAGACAGGCGAGCAGGCAGCCAGAGGGUUGCUGUUAUCAAAUCCUAGAUACCAUUGCCUCUGUUGUGCCCUUGAGCAAGGCACUUAAUGCCUCACAACAACAGCCCCCUGGGCGCCCAGUGUGGAAGCCCCCCCACACCUCUCCAAAAACCUGUAUGCAUGUACUGUAAGUCAAAUUCUGGAUGGACCUUGUGUGCAAUUGACCAAUAAAGUGAUCUUAAUCAGUUUAGUCAAAAGGUGGAAUACUUGCGACAGUUUAUUUUCACAAAGUAAUAGAUUGACCCUGUAGGAAUAGAUAUACUUUAGAUGAAACUGUUCUUGGAACAUCAAAUGCAUCAAAUCAGUUUUCCAUACUGAUUCUUUGUCUCUCUCUGUGUACAGUGGCAAGAAAAAGUAUGUGAACCCUUGGAUUUAAUAACUGGUUGACCCUCCUUUGGCAGUAAUAACCUCAACCAAAUGUUUUCUGUAGUUGUGGAUCAGACCUGCAGACUGGUCAGAAUUAAUUUUGAACCAGUCCUCUUUACAAAACUUUCAGUUCAGCAAUAUUCUUGGGAUGUCUGGUGUGAACCGCUCUCUUGAGGUCAUGCCACAGCAUCUCAAUCGGGUUGAGGUCAGUACUCUGACUGGGCCACUCCAGAAGGCGUAUUUUCUUCUGUUGAAGCCAUUCGGUUUUACUUCUGUGUUUUGGGUCGUUGUCCUGUUGCAUCAACCAACUUCUGUUGAGCUUGAUAAAAUGAAUUCCCAAGUUUUCUGACAACGAUGGCAAGCUCUCCAGGCACUGAGGCAGCAAAUGAUGCUCCGUCCACCACACUUGACAGUUGGGAUGAGGUUUUGAUGUUGGUGUGCUGUGCCUUUUUUUCUUCUUCUCCACACAUAUCUUGUGUGUUCCUUCCAAACUGGACUUUCAUCUGUCCACAGAAUAUUAUACCAGUGUGCAACAUACUGGUGCACUUUGGCAAACUUCAGACGUGCAGCAAUGUUUUUUUUGGACAGCAGUGGCUUUCAUGGUGUCCUCCCAUGAACACCAUUCUUGUUUAAUGUUUUACAUAUCGUAGACUCGUCAACAGACAUGUUAGCACGUUCCAGAGAUUUCUGAAAGUCUUUAGCUGACACUCUUCUUAACCUUAUUGAGAUUACUGCGCUGUUCUCUUGCAGUCAUCUUUGUAGAAGGGCCACUCCUAGGGAAAGUAGCAACAGUGCUGAACUUUCUCCAUUUAGAGACAAUUUGUCUUACCGUGGACUGAUGAAGAUCAAGGCUUUUAGAGAUACUUUUGUAACCUUUUCCAGCUUUA